AGCUCCCCGAGUGGUGGGGACGAUUAUUUGGCCUAAAGCGUUCGUAGCCGGCUUAGUAAGUCCUCCGUUAAAUCUGACGACUUAAUCGUCAGGCUGCGGAAGAUACUACUGGGCUAGGAGGCGGGAGAGGUCGACGGUAUUCCAGGGGUAGGAGUGGAAUCCUAUAAUCCUUGGAGGACCACCAGUGGCGAAGGCGGUCGACCAGAACGCGCUCGACGGUGAGGGACGAAAGCUGGGGGAGCGAACCGGAUUAGAUACCCGAGUAGUCC
rnacentral:rRNA from 1 species